rnacentral:rRNA from 1 species
ACGGGGCGCAGCGGCGCGAAAACUUUACAAUGCAGGAAACUGUGAUAAGGGAACCCCGAGUGCCCGUAUACGCGGGCUGUCCAGGUGUCUAAAACGCAUCUGAAGAAAGGGCCGGGCAAGACCGGUGCCAGCCGCCGCGGUAAUACCGGCGGCUCGAGUGGUGGCCACUUUUAUUGGGCUUAAAGCGUCCGUCGCUGGACCCUUAAGUCUCUUGGGAAAUCCGCCGGCUUAACCGGCGGGCGUCUCAGUGAUACUGGGGGUCUAGGGACCGGGAGAGGUGAGAGGUACUCCGGGGGUAGGG